rnacentral:rRNA from 1 species
GCCGGCGAGUGGCGGACGGGUGAGUAAAGUGUAGGAAUCUGUCCUAAGGUGUGGGACAACUUGGGGAAACUCAAGCUAAUACCACAUAAUCCGGAAACGGUAAAGCGGGGGAUCUUCGGACCUCGCGCCUUAGGGUGAGCCUACAUCAGAUUAGCUUGUUGGUGGGGUAAAGGCCCACCAAGGCGACGAUCUGUAGCUGGUCUGAGAGGAUGACCAGCCACACUGGGACUGAGACACGGCCCAGACUCC